rnacentral:rRNA from 1 species
GGGUGAGUAAUGCUUGGGAAUAUGCCUUAUGGUGGGGGACAACAGUUGGAAACGACUGCUAAUACCGCACGAUGUCUACGGACCAAAGUGGGGGACCUUCGGGCCUCACGCCAUAAGAUUAGCCCAAGUGGGAUUAGCUAGUUGGUGAGGUAAUGGCUCACCAAGGCGACGAUCCCUAGCUGGUUUGAGAGGAUGAUCAGCCACACUGGGACUGAGACACGGCCCAGACUCCUACGGGAGGCAGCAGUGGGGAAUAUUGCACAAUGGGCGCAAGCCUGAUGCAGCCAUGCCGCGUGUGUGAAGAAGGCCUUCGGGUUGUAAAGCACUUUCAGUAAGGAGGAAAGGUUAAGUGUUAAUAGCACUUAGCUGUGACGUUACUUACAGAAGAAGCACCGGCUAACUCCGUGCCAGCAGCCGCGGUAAUACGGAGGGUGCGAGCGUUAAUCGGAAUUACUGGGCGUAAAGCG